rnacentral:rRNA from 1 species
GUGUCAGCAGCCGCGGUAAUACGAAGGUGGCAAGCGUUGUUCGGAUUUACUGGGCGUAAAGGGAGCGUAGGCGGUUUGGUAAGCCCUCCGGGAAAUCUCCCGGCUUAACCGGGAAAGGUCGGAGGGGACUGCCAGGCUUGAGGACGGGAGAGGAGCGCGGAAUUCCCGGUGUAGCGGUGAAAUGCGUAGAGAUCGGGAGGAAGGCCGGUGGCGAAGGCGGCGCUCUGGAACGUUCCUGACGCUGAGGCUCGAAAGCGUGGGGAGCAAACAGGAUUAGAUACCCUGGUAGUCCACGCCCUAAACGAUGGACACUAAGUGUCGGCGGGUUACCGCCGGUGCCGCAGCUAACGCAUUAAGUGUCCCGCCUGGGGAGUACGGCCGCAAGGUUGAA